rnacentral:rRNA from 1 species
CCUACGGGCGGCAGCAGUAGGGAAUCUUCCACAAUGGGCGCAAGCCUGAUGGAGCAACACCGCGUGAGUGAAGAAGGGUUUCGGCUCGUAAAGCUCUGUUGUUGGAGAAGAACGUGCGUGAGAGUAACUGUUCACGCAGUGACGGUAUCCAACCAGAAAGUCACGGCUAACUACGUGCCAGCAGCCGCGGUAAUACGUAGGUGGCAAGCGUUAUCCGGAUUUAUUGGGCGUAAAGCGAGCGCAGGCGGUUGCUUAGGUCUGAUGUGAAAGCCUUCGGCUUAACCGAAGAAGUGCAUCGGAAACCGGGCAACUUGAGUGCAGAAGAGGACAGUGGAACUCCAGGUGUAGCGGUGGAAUGCGUAGAUAUAUGGAAGAACACCAGUGGCGAAGGCGGCUGUCUGGUCUGCAACUGACGCUGAGGCUCGAAAGCAUGGGUAGCGGACAGGAUUAGAUACCCGGGUAGUC